rnacentral:rRNA from 1 species
UACAGAGGUCUCAAGCGUUGUUCGGAUUCAUUGGGCGUAAAGGGUGCGUAGGCGGCGCGGUAAGUCGGGUGUGAAAUCUCGGGGCUUAACUCCGAAACUGCAUUCGAUACUGCCGUGCUUGAGGACUGGAGAGGAGACUGGAAUUUACGGUGUAGCGGUGAAAUGCGCAGAUAUCAGGAAGAACACCCGUGGCGAAGGCGGCUCUCUGGUACGUGACUGACGCUGAGGAGCGAAAGCAUGGGUAGCAAACAGG